rnacentral:pre_miRNA from 1 species
UGGCAGUGUAUUGUUAGCUGGUUGAGUAUGUAAAAGGCACCAGCUAACAUGCAACUGCUCUC